UGAGGAAUUUUGCGCAAUGGCCGCAAGGCUGACGCAGCAACGCCGCGUGGGUGAUGAAGGCCUUCGGGUCGUAAAGCCCUGUCAGGUGGGAAGAAAGGCCUUAAGGAGAAAGACUUGAGGUUUGACGGUACCACCAGAGGAAGCACCGGCUAACUCCGUGCCAGCAGCCGCGGUAAUACGGAGGGUGCGAGCGUUAUUCGGAAUUACUGGGCGUAAAGCGCGUGUAGGCGGGGGGACAAGUCUGAUGUGAAAGCCCUGGGCUUAACCUGGGAGGAGCAUUGGAGACUGUGGUUCUUGAGUACUGGAGAGGAAGGGGGAAUGCCCGGUGUAGAGGUGAAACUCGUAGAGCGCGGGAGGAAUACCAGUGGCGUAGGCGCCCUUCUGGACGGUAACUGACGCUGAGACGCGAAAGCGUGGGGAG
rnacentral:rRNA from 1 species